GGUCGGAUGCAUCCGAUGACUUCCUUGUGGACUCGGUUAAAUCCUGGAGUUGCGCUUGACUCGCAGUGGUGAGUGUGUCUGCAGAGUGUCAGCAGCUGAUGUUUGUGAGACGACGACCUGACCCGAAGCUUCUGCAGGAAGAUGACAGAAGAAAUGCCUGCAGGAACUGCGGAUUGAAGGUCGACCAUCAGAGAAAGGUUGGAGCUGAUGUUCACGGUCCUCAGCUUUGAACUUAAACAAUUAUUCACUGUAAACAGAUGUUUGUCUUAAUAAAAUGCCAGAACUGAUCAUAUUUGACUCAUUUGUACACUUCACAGCUUCUUGU